rnacentral:rRNA from 1 species
AGAGUUUGAUCAUGGCUCAGGAUGAACGCUAGCUACAGGCUUAACACAUGCAAGUCGAGGGGCAGCAUGUGGUGCUUGCAACCAAUGAUGGCGACCGGCGCACGGGUGAGUAACGCGUAUCCAACCUUCCCCUUAGUAGGGCAUAGCCCGUAGAAAUGCGGAUUAAUACCCUAUGUUGUAUAUUGAGGACAUCUGAUUUAUACCAAAGGUUCACCGCUAAGGGAUGGGGAUGCGUCUGAUUAGGUUGUUGGCGGGGUAACGGCCCACCAAGCCGACGAUCAGUAGGGGUUCUGAGAGGAAGGUCCCCCACAUUGGAACUGAGACACGGUCCAAACUCCUACGGGAGGCAGCAGUGAGGAAUAUUGGUCAAUGGACGAGAGUCUGAACCAGCCAAAGUAGCGUGCAGGAUGACGGCCCUAUGGGUUGUAAACUGCCUUUAUACGGGGAUAAAGUGACCCACGUGUGGGUUUUUGUAGGUACCGUAUGAAUAAGGACCGGCUAAUUCCGUGCCAGCCGCGGC